rnacentral:rRNA from 1 species
GUGCCAGCCGCCGCGGUAAUACGUAGGUGGCAAGCGUUGUCCGGAUUUAUUGGGCGUAAAGCGAGCGCAGGCGGUUUCUUAAGUCUGAUGUGAAAGCCCCCGGCUCAACCGGGGAGGGUCAUUGGAAACUGGGAGACUUGAGUGCAGAAGAGGAGAGUGGAAUUCCAUGUGUAGCGGUGAAAUGCGUAGAUAUAUGGAGGAACACCAGUGGCGAAGGCGGCUCUCUGGUCUGUAACUGACGCUGAGGCUCGAAAGCGUGGGGAGCGAACAGGAUUAGAUACCCUGGUAGUCCACGCCGUAAACGAUGAGUGCUAAGUGUUGGAGGGUUUCCGCCCUUCAGUGCUGCAGCAAACGCAUUAAGCACUCCGCCUGGGGAGUACGACCGCAAGGUUGAAACUCAAAGGAAUUGACGGGGGCCCGCACAAGCGGUGGAGCAUGUGGUUUAAUUCGAAGCAACGCGAAGAACCUUACCAGGUCUUGACAUCCUUUGACCACUCUAGAGAUAGAGCUUCCCCUUCGGGGGCAAAGUGACAGGUGGUGCAUGGUUGUCGUCAGCUCGUGUCGUGAGAUGUUGGGUUAAGUCCCGCAACGAGCGCAACCCUUAUUGUUAGUUGCCAUCAUUUAGUUGGGCACUCUAGCGAGACUGCCGGUGACAAACCGGAGGAAGGUGGGGAUGACGUCAAAUCAUCAUGCCCCUUAUGACCUGGGCUACACAC